rnacentral:tRNA from 1 species
CACCACUUUUAAACAAUAUAUCCCAAAUAAUGGGGUCGUUAGCUCAGUCGGUAGAGCAGCGGACUUUUAAUCCGUU